rnacentral:rRNA from 1 species
UACGUAGGGUGCAAGCGUUGUCCGGAAUUAUUGGGCGUAAAGGGCUCGUAGGCGGUCCAUCGCGUCGGGAGUGAAAAGCUGGGGCUUAACCCCAGUCCUGCUUCCGAUACGGGUGGACUAGAGGUAGGUAGGGGAGAACGGAAUUCCUGGUGUGAGCGGUGGAAAUGCGCAGAUAUCGGGAGGAACACCGGUGGCGAAGGCGGUUCUCUGGGCCUGACCUGACGCUGAGGAGCGAAAGCGUGGGGAGCGAACAGG